GGGUGUAACAGCCAUGUGAUGGUAGGUUUAGUAAAAACUCCAUAAAGCCCAAACAAUGAGCCCAAUGCUGAAACACGGGGGAAACAUGGAAUUGGUGUUCAGCACAAAUGAAAACUCAAAAGCAAAACACGCAGCAACCAAGAAAUGACUUCACAGCUAACUCAGGUCACCAGCCACCAUUAUCCACCACGCCAUAGGUCUUCUCCAGGAUCAUGACGACGAGCUUAAUCAGAAUCUGAGGUCAAUUUCAACAGAUCAUUGCUAUAAUGUCCAAAUAGAAAUGGAAUCAUGAAGAAACCUAAGCCAAAAUAAAGAUAAAUUAAAUGAUGAAUAUUCAUAGAUUCAUGCUCAGACCUUAGGGCUAUUGACCCCUAGAUCAUCCUCUAUGAAAUGGUAACAAGAUCAUGGCAAACAGAAGAGAAGAAAAUUCACCUCUUAAACGAAGAUUUGUUUCGGCGAGCGUUAAAUCGGAGAAGAUGAAGAUGCAACAGAAAAUCACUUGAAAUAGGGCAAUGUGCGUCAGCUAAUUUUCUAUCAUGGGCUAGUGGUUCCGGGGUAGAAAUGCAGGGUGAUGGACAUGUUGAAUUUGGCAAUGUUGGUUCGGUAUGAAGCAAGGCAAUGUUUGUUGAGUUCCUUUUGUUAUGCAGGUCAUAAUGAAGCUUGUUAUGCCACUGACAUUACUUGGAAUCCUUGUUACAUCAUGUUAGAUGGGAAUUAAAUUGGGAGUUUGGGAUUAUGGAUCGUGUAGAACUUGUUAAUUGACUUGUGCUAAUGAAUUUUGUAAUUUUGAAGUUUGAAUGUAUGGUCAUGUAAUUUUGAAUGAUGUAUGCAAUUUGAAUUGAAGAUGUAUCGGUUGGAAUGUA